GUGGGGAAUCUUCCACAAUGGACGAAAGUCUGAUGGAGCAACGCCGCGUGAGUGAAGAAGGGUUUCGGCCCGUAAAGCUCUGUUGUCGGGGACGAAUGUGCAGUAUUUGAAUAAAGUACUGCAAUGACGGUACCUGACGAGGAAGCCACGGCUAACUACGUGCCAGCAGCCGCGGUAAUACGUAGGUGGCAAGCGUUGUCCGGAAUUAUUGGGCGUAAAGGGAGCGCAGGCGGGAAGGUAAGUCGGUCUUAAAAGUGCGGGGCUCAACCCCGUGAUGGGAUCGAAACUAGCUUUCUUGAGUGCAGGAGAGGAAAGUGGAAUUCCUAGUGUAGCGGUGAAAUGCGUAGAUAUUAGGAGGAACACCAGUGGCGAAGGCGACUUUCUGGACGAUGUCUGACGCUGAGGCGCGAAAGCUAGGGGAGCGAACGGGAUUAGAUACCCCGGUAGUCC
rnacentral:rRNA from 1 species